rfam:Pteropus alecto contig17660, whole genome shotgun sequence.
GUCUAUGACCAUGCCACCCUGAACAAGCCCAAUCCCGUCCGAUCUCAGAAGCUAAGCAAGGUCAGGCCUGGUUAGUACUUGGAUGGGAGACCAUCUAGGAAGACCAGGUGCUGUAGGUG